rnacentral:misc_RNA from 1 species
UCAAACUUGGUCAUUUAGAGGAAGUAAAAGUCGUAACAAGGUAACCGUAGGUGAACCUGCGGUUGGAUCAUUAUUAAUUAUAACUAAAGAGGGGAGAAAUCCCUUUCUUUAAACACAAUGUGCACUGUAAUUGUCUCUGGUGGGUCAAGUUCGCUUGCCCACUGUAAUUAAACUCUUAUGCUUUAUUUUGGACUUUAGUUUAAGAAGUAUAAUUCUAACAACUUUUGGCAACGGAUCUCUUGGUUCUCGCAUCGAUGAAGAACGCAGC